rnacentral:rRNA from 1 species
AAGCCCGUUGAAGACUACGACGUUGAUAGGCAAGGUGUGGAAGCGCAGUAAUGCGUGAAGCUAACUUGUACUAAUUGGCUGAUUGUCUUGACCAUAUAAUCUGAG